rnacentral:rRNA from 1 species
CCUACGGGCGGCAGCAGUGAGGAAUAUUGGUCAAUGGACGCGAGCCUGAACCAGCCAAGUCGCGUGAGGGAUGACUGCCCUAUGGGUUGUAAACCUCUUUUAUAAAGGAACAAAACGAGCCACGCGUGCCUUUUUGCAUGUACCCUAUGAAUAAGCAUCGGCUAACUCCGUGCCAGCAGCCGCGGUAAUACGGAGGAUCCGAGCGUUAUCCGGAUUUAUUGGGUUUAAAGGGAGCGUAGAUGGGUUGUUAAGUCAGUUGUGAAAGUUUGCGGCUCAACCGUAAAAGUGCAAUUGAAACUGGCAGUCUUGAGUACAGGUGAAGUAGGCGGAAUGCGUGGUGUAGCGGUGAAAUGCUUAGAUAUCACGAAGAACCCCGAUUGCGAAGGCAGCUUAC